rnacentral:rRNA from 1 species
CCACGAAAGAUCUGUUGGAGCACGCCGCGUGAGUGACGACGGCCUUCAUUUCGUACAGCUCUGUUGUUAGGGAAGGGCAAGUACCGUUCGAAUAGGGCGGUACCCCGACGGUACCUAACCAGAAAGCCACGGCUAACUACGUGCCAGCAGCCGCGGUAAUACGUAGGUGGCAAGCCCUGUCCGGAAUUAUUGGGCGUAAAGCGCGCGCAGGCGGUCUCUUAAGUCUGAUGUGAAAGCCCACGGCUCAGCAGUGGAGGGCCAUUGGAAACUGGGGGACUUGAGUGCAGAAGAGGAGAGUGGAAUUCCACGUGUAGCGGUGAAAUGCGUAGAUAUGUGGAGGAACACCAGUGGCGAAGGCGGCUCUCUGGUCUGUAACUGACGCUGAGGCGCGAAAGCGUGGGGAGCAAACAGGAUUAGAUACCCUGGUAGUCCACGCCGUAAACGAUGAGUGCUAGGUGUUGGGGGGUUCCACCCUCAGUGCUGAAGUUAACACAUUUAAGCACUCCGCCUGGGGAGUACGACCCGCAAGGUUGAAACUCAAAGGAAUUGACGGGGGCCCGCACAAGCAGUGGAGCAUGUGGUUUAAUUCGAAGCAACGCGGGGGACAGAGUGACAGGUGGUGCAUGGUUGUCGUCAGCUCGUGUCGUGAGAUGUUGGGUUAAGUCCCGCAACGAGCGCAACCCUUGAUCUUAGUUGCCAGCAUUCAGUUGGGCACUCUAAGGUGACUGCCGGUGACAAACCGGAGGAAGGUGGGGACGACGUCAAAUCAUCAUGCCCCUUAUGACCUGGGCUACACACGUGCUACAAUGGACGGUACAAAGGGCUGCGACACCGCGAGGUAGAGUAACUGCUGGUACCUUGACGGUACCUAACCAGAAAGCCACGGCUAACUACGUGCCAGCAGCCGCUUUCCUACGUAGGUGACAAGCGUUGUCCGGGGUUAUUGAACGUACCGCGCGCGCAGGUUAUUCCUUAAGCGUGUUGUGAAAGGGCACGGCUCUACCGUGGAGCGUCAUUGGAAACUGGGGCCCUUGAGUGAAGAAGAGGAAAGUGGAAUUCAAAGUGUAGCAGUGCCAUGCGU